UGCACUCACUACUGUAAGUCGCUCUGGAUAAGAGCGUCUGCUAAAUUACAUGAA
rfam:Salmo salar isolate Sally breed double haploid chromosome ssa15, whole genome shotgun sequence.